UACGUAGGUGGCAAGCGUUAUCCGGAUUUACUGGGUGUAAAGGGCGAGUAGGCGGGAUUGCAAGUCAGAUGUGAAAACUAUGGGCUCAACCGAUAGAGUGCAUUUGAAACUGCAGUUCUUGAGUGAUGGAGAGGCAGGCGGAAUUCCCGGUGUAGCGGUGGAAUGCGUAGAUAUCGAGAGGAACACUCGUGGCGAAGGCGGGUUCCUGGACAUUAACUGACGCUGAGGCACGAAGGCCAGGGGAGCGAAAGGG
rnacentral:rRNA from 1 species